UUCAGGAGAUGGAGCCUCAGGGAAAGUCCCAGCGGGGCCUGGCCAUCCUGGAGCUGUGGGAACUGGCACUGGGAAUGGAGGCGUUGGCCUUGGGCCCCACCUGCAGAGGGCCAGGGCCUGAGCCCUGGGGAAAGGGGAAGGGGCUGGUGACUCCAAAGGGGAAGGGACUGCUCACUACCACCACCAAAGCCAGGGCAGGGGUGGGGUGUGACCACCUCCCUCCUCCUGCUCAGGCCUAGGGGGUGGCAGGCUGGCCAUCAGUGUGGGCUAACCCUGUCCUCUCCCUCCCAGCCAUGGGAACAAGGAGGUCUUCUCCUGCCGGGGCAUCCUGCUGGCAGUGAACUGGUUUCUGGAGCGGGGCCACACAGACAUCACAGUGUUUGUGCCAUCCUGGAGGAAGGAGCAGCCUCGGCCCGACGUGCCCAUCACAGACCAGCACAUCCUGCGGGAACUGGAGAAGAAGAAGAUCCUGGUGUUCACACCAUCACGACGCGUGGGUGGCAAGCGGGUGGUGUGCUAUGACGACAGAUUCAUUGUGAAGCUGGCCUACGAGUCUGACGGGAUCGUGGUUUCCAACGACACAUACCGUGACC
rnacentral:sRNA from 1 species